AAGGAGUCCAUCAUUUGUGCAAGUGAUUUAGUGACAAACUAAUACGCUCAAUGAAAGAAAACAAUGGGACUGAAUUGCACCAUUAACCGGUUUAUGUAUUUAAAUCUGAGUCAGAGCACAACUGUUGGGACCCGAAAGAUGGUGAACUAUGCCUGGAUAGGGUUAAGUCAGAGGAAACUCUGAUGGAAGCUUGUAGCGGUUCUGACAUGCAAAUCGAUCGUUGAAGUUGGGUAUAGGGGCGAAAGACUAAUCGAACCAUCUAGUAGCUGGUUCC
rnacentral:misc_RNA from 1 species